rnacentral:rRNA from 1 species
UUGCAGUUAAAAAGCUCGUAGUUGGAUUUCUGCGGGGGCGGGGCGGCCGGUUGCUUAUAGCAACUCGAGCUAGCACUUCCCCUGCAUCCUGCCGCGAACCGUGCUACCAUUAGUUUGGUGGCGCCGGGGAUCGGCUCGUUUACUUUGAGAAAAAUAGAGUGUUCAAAGCAGGCCACACGCCUUGAAUAAGUUAGCAUGGAAUAAUGAUAAAGGACUUCGGUUCUAUUUUGUUGGUGUUCGGGACUGAAGUAAUGAUUGAUAGGGACAGUUGGGGCGGUCCGUAUUCCAAAGCGAGAGGUGAAAUCCUUAGACCUUCGGAAGACGAACAGCUGCGAAAGCGUUCCGCAAGGAUGUUCCCUUUGAUCAAGAACGAAAGUUGGGGGAUCGAAGCCGAUCAGAUACCGUCGUAGUCUCAACUAUAAACUAUACCAGCUAGGGAUCAGCCAACGUUUAAUUACACCGACUUGGUUGGCACCUUAUGAGAAAUC